GCCCGGAUAAUUAGGCUACAGUAAAACUCUCAUGAUGAUGCCAUGUCAUCUAUGUUACUAUUGCUAAUUAAGUGGUAGUUCAAAAACAUUGCAAAUUCAAAAAUGAAUUAGUGACAAACACCCAAUGUUUUCAAAAGCCAAAACAAAAAUGUUCGGUGGGUGCCAAAUAUUGCAAUGGUAAUUAUGGUGAAGUAAACACAUUUUUAGAAAAUGCCUAAUUACUUUAAAAUGAAAUAAAACAGAAUAGGAAAUAAAUAAAAAGAAAAGUGAAAAUAAAACAAAAGGAGAACCCCCCACCCUCCCCACUGGGCCAAUCGGCCCAGCUGCUAGCCAGGCCGGUCCCAAACCGGCCAACCCACCCGCACGGCCAUAGCACCUGCCCCCUGGCCCGCAACCAGCCUGGUCGGCCCAGCCGGUCCCGCUCCCCGCACCGCACCCCCCUUCAUGUUCCUCGGUCGCGUGCCACUACAGGGCGCGGUCACCACCGGACCCGCUCGCCGGCGUCGAGGUGGAUAAGGACGCCGACGCCGCGCCCCUUCGGUCUCUCCUCCCACUCGCCCCCACUCUCCCCUCGGUCCCUGCGCCUUCUCCCCUAAGAUCAACCUCGCUCUCCCCCUCAUUCCCCACCAUGCCCGAACACCGCCAUGGACCCGCCGCCGUGAAUCGUGCGGCCACAGUCAUCGCCUCGCCGCGCCUGCGUGUCCGUCACCACCGCCGUCGUCUUCCUCGUCGACCGCUGGCCACAGCUGGAGCUCGGAGGCAUAGCUGCAAUGCCCCCCUUCUUCCACAUCUCCGGUCUCCGCUGUUCUUCCCCAACUCCGGCGACACCCCUCUGCUGCUACUAAGCUACCACGGGCCAUCCUGCGUGCCGCACGGUGAGCUCCCCCGCCUCCUACUCCUCCUCGUUAAGCCCCUCACGCCCCGUAGCUAGCUGCCGGCGUAGCACCCGAGCGCCCCGUCGUGGAUCUCGUCACCGACGAGUCUCCGGUGACCAAAUGGUCACGGGUGUGUUGCCAUUGAACUCACCGCGUCGAGUAGGGCCCGACUAGCUCUCCCGUUUGCCCAAUAACGCACCGCAGCGCCGUUUCCUCUCACGGCUGAACGCCAGCGUCCGCCGCGCCGCUCGCCGUUGUCGCUACACGGCAACUCCGGCUGCGGUAUCCCUACCGUUCAACGCGGCUUCGUCUCUACAUUCGAACGCACCCAACCGCACGUAGAACCACGCCCCACAGCCCCGUCGUCGAACUCGCCCGAACCCCGACGUCUGCCCCGCUCGUCGCCGGCGACGCUGCGGCCCUCCUCCGGCCAAGCCACCGCCCCCUUCCAAUGCGACACGGCGCGGGCGUUCGAAUGAGCCUAACCCCGCUCCUCCCCGAGCCCCGUAGAGCGCUUCCGGCCAACUCCGGCGAGGGGCCGCCAUUAUUUUGGUCGCCGGAGUUAGCUCCGGCGCGUCUUCGGCGGGUGCCGAGCUGGCACCCAUGUGGCACCGCGUCGGGCCACUGACUGGUGGGCCCAGGUCCCCCUGUUGACCAGUUGACUGAGUCAACUGCUGACUGGGCCGCCCCUGUCUCACUGACCUAUGGGCCCCACCUUAAUAACAAAUAAAGAUAAAUAGAUAAUUUGCUAAUUAAUUAAAUUAGUUAAUUAAACACUACUCUCACUGACUACCGGGCCCCACCUUCUAAUUAAUCCAUUUUGUUAGUUUAAACCCUCUGUUAAUGCCCCUGACAAUGACAUGUGGGUCCCACUGGACCCACCUGUCUGUUUGACUUGUCAACCGACCAGUUGACCUGCUGACAUCACUCUGAUGUCAUGCCUACGUCAUCAUUCACUAUUUUGGAUAAUGAUAGAAUUAAAUAAAUAAUUAAAAUUAGAAAAUGAUUUAAAUCUUUGGAAAAUCAUAUCUUUUAAUCCGUAACUCGGAUGGAAAUACUUUCUACAUGAAAGUUGCUCAGAACGACAAUACGAAUCUGGAUACGCAGCCCAUUCGUCUGCCACACAUCCCUAGCAUAGCAAACACGCAACUUUCCCCUCCGGUUCAUUUGUCCAAAAACGCGAAACACCGGGGAUACUUUCCCGGAUGUUUCCCCCUUUCGCCAGUACCACCUACUGCUGCGUUAGGGCACACCUAGCACCGCGUAUUGCCAUGUUACGCUUUGUGAUGCUUUGAUUGCUUUGUUAUCUAUUGUGUUCCCUCUCCGUUACUUCUUUCCGAUAGACCCCGAGACUGCCGACGAUCCCCAGUUCGACUACGAUGUUGACGACNNNNNNNNNNNNNNNNNNNNNNNNNNNNNNNNNNNNNNNNNNNNNNNNNNNNNNNNNNNNNNNNNNNNNNNNNNNNNNNNNNNNNNNNNNNNNNNNNNNNNNNNNNNNNNNNNNNNNNNNNNNNNNNNNNNNNNNNNNNNNNNNNNNNNNNNNNNNNNNNNNNNNNNNNNNNNNNNNNNNNNNNNNNNNNNNNNNNNNNNNNNNNNNNNNNNNNNNNNNNNNNNNNNNNNNNNNNNNNNNNNNNNNNNNNNNNNNNNNNNNNNNNNNNNNNNNNNNNNNNNNNNNNNNNNNNNNNNNNCCUAUUCUCCUCUAUACUGCUUGCAUUAGAGUAGUGUAGCAUGUUACUGCUUUCCGUUAAUCCUAUUCUGAUGCAUAGCCUGACAUUGUUGCUACAUCUGUUGAUACCUUACCUGCAAUCCUAAAUACUUAGUAUAGGAUGCUAGUUUAUCAUCUGUGGCCCUACAUUCUUGUCAGUCUGCCUUGCUAUACUAUUGGUCCGUGAUCACUCGGGAGGUGAUCAUGGGUAUAUACUAUACAUAUAUACAUACUAUACAGGUGGUGACUAAAGUCGGGUCAGCUCGUUGAGUACCCGCACGUGAUUCUGAUGUGGGGGCUGGAAGGACAGGUGGCUCCAUCCCGGUAGAGGUGGGCCUGGGUUCUCGACGGCCCCCGACUGUUACUUUGUGGCGGAGCGACAGGGCAGGUUGAGACCACCUAGGAGACAGGUUGGCAUGGCCCUGGUCGGCGUCCGCGGAUACUUAACACGCUUAACGAGAUCUUGGUAUUUGAUCUGAGUCUGGCUACUGGCCUAUACGCACUAACCAACUACGCGGGAAUCGUUAUGGGCAAUCGGUGUCGUGGUAUCAGCCGAAGCCUUCGUGACGUCAGCGACUGAGCGGCGCGCGCCAGAUUGGACCGCGUAAUGUGACUUCCUUUGUAAUGGAGGUUGCUAGGUCUGCUUCCGGCCGCCCAUGCAACGUGCAGGUGUGCAAUGGGCAAUGGGCCAAGACCCCUGCGCGUAUAGGAUUUAGACCGGCGUGCUGACCUCUCUGUUGUGCCUAGGUGGGGCUGCGACGUGUUGAUCUUUCGAGGCUGGGCAUGACCCAGGAAAAUGUGUCCGGCCAAAUGGGAUCGGGCGUGUUGGGUUAUGUGGUGCACCCCUGCAGGGAAGUUAAUCUAUUCGAAUAGCCGUGAUCUUCGGUAACAGGACGACUUGGAGUUGUACCUUGACCUUAUGACAACUAGAACCAGAUACUUAAUAAAACACACCCAGACAAGUUCCACAGACAACCCGGUGAUCGCUUUUCCACAGGGCGACGAGGGGAGGAUCACCGGGUAGGAUUAUGCUAUGCGAUGCUACUUGGAGAUGCUACUUGGAGGACUUCAGUCUACUCUCUUCUACAUGCUGCAAGACGGAGGCUGCCAGAAGUGUAGUAUUCGAUAGGACUAGCUAUCCCCCUCUUAUUCUGGCAUUCUGCAGUUCGGUCCACUGAUAUGGCCCUUUACACAUAUACCCAUGCAUAUGUAGUGUGGCUCCUUACUUGCGAGUACUUUGGAUGAGUACUCAUGGUUGCUUUUCUCCCCCCUUUUCCCCCUUUCCUUUCUACCUGGUUGUCGCAACCAGAUGCCGCAGCCCAGGAGCCAGACGCCACCGUCGACGACUCUUACUACACUAGAGGUGCCUACUACUACGUGCAGGCCGCUCACGACGAUCAGGAGUAGUUUAGGAGGAUCCCAGGCAGGAGGCCUGCGCCUCUUUCGAUCUGUAUCCCAGUUUGUGCUAGCCUUCUUAUGGCGAACUUGUUUACUUAUGUCUGUACUCAGAUAUUGUUGCUUCCGCUGACUUGUCUAUGAUCGAGCACUUGUAUUCGAGCCCUCGAGGCCCCUGGCUUGUAUUAUGAUGCUUGUAUGACUUAUUUAUGUUUUAGAGUUGUGUUGUGAUAUCUUCCCGUGAGUCCCUGAUCUUGAUCGUACACAUUUGCGUGCAUGAUUAGUGUAUGAUUGAAUCGGGGGCGUCACAAGUUGGUAUCAGAGCCGAGUGCCUGUGGGAAUUCCCCUUCCAAACUCCUUGGCCGAAGUCGAGUCUAGACAUUGCAAAACUUUUACUAACAUGGUUGUGUGUCUUACGGGAACACGUCGCCAUUGGGUGGUAGUAGGAUCUUUUACUCCUCGAUCUUUACUCUGGGUCUUUGAACUCUCUUCUAUUCGGGUUUAAAUGAUUUUGCUAACUCUGACUCUAGGUUCUCGUAAAAUACUUUCUCCCGGAGAGCCCCUCACUCCAGAUGAUCGCUUGCUGCAUCGAAGGAUUUCGAAGAUACUCUUUGAUGUUCUCAAGACUUUGUGCUUGUUGCUCUUACAAUUACCUACCACUGAUUUAUCCCUAUGGAUAAAUACUUACACCCUUCGUUCUUAAUUUUAUUCCAAGUUGAUCUUGUUAAUACAAGAUGCCCCGAACCGCUCUCUGUUGUUCCAAGAAUCCUUUGAGCUUACUGCUUUACAGUUCUUGCCUCAUGAAUACCCUUACGGAUAAUUCCUCGCACUUAUCGAGCAUCUGCUCUUUCCCAGUUGUUCAUGUGUUUCACAAAAGUUUUUGAAAUACCAUUCAAUCUUCCAAAAAUCCUAAGCAUCCUCUUGCUCUUGAUAUUCUUGCUUGCUUGCAUUAUGGUUAAUCCCAUAAGUCUCGUAAUCUUAUUGGCAUCUCUUGUCAUUAUGAUUUUGAUCCUUUGGAUCCAACAUGAGUGUGAAUGCACGCAAUCAUCAGUUGAUCCUUUUAAAUUAUAUUUCCGGCUCAGACAUCUUUUGAACAUGAGAUGGUUCUCAGCCAAUCAGAUUAUCAUCGAUUGUGCCCCUAAGUCUAUUCAACUUAUCCAUCCUUGGUCAGAGCAUCUGCUUCUGAUCCUUUGAUUUGGAAUCAUAAUUCCUUUGCAUUUAAGCUUCGAAUUAUUCAGAUGAUUCCAUAACCUGUUGCAUUUGCAUUCUUUCCUCUUCUGCUUGAGUACCGAUACUCACAUCAGGUCCUUUGUGUACCAUCAAUUCCUUUGUUGGAUUUUAUCCGACAACGUCCUUCAUAUUCAAUCACGUUGUAAGUUCUUUCCCUGAUACAUAAUGCCAAUGGUAAAUCCUAUUCUCUGAAUUGGCCAACGAUGCUCUGCUUUCGAGCUUGUGUACUUUUGAAACUUGUGGUAUAUGUUACUAAGAUGCCCGAUGGGUUGAACCUAUGCCUUCCCCUAAUCCGUGAGAACCCGAAAGUUUUCACAAGUCAUACUCUUCUGGUGUUUUACCAGAUAAUAUUCCAACACUACAGUUAUAUCAAAGCGAGAGGUGAAUGAAAUGAUAUGCAUUAAAGAAGUGGGAGUCGACCUUGAACUUUGUGUUCAUGUCCAUGAAAAUGAUGUAGACCGUCUCAGAAGCUUCUUGCAAAAUGAUUAUCUAGCUGUAUGAUUCUUUCAGUAUUCUUGAAAUUGAUUCCUUACAGUUAUGGUUCCGACCAUGCUGUCCUGAUUUGAUAUAUUUGAUGGGAAUUCAUUCCAGUGCCUCGUCUAUUUUUGGCAAGGUUGAAGUACCUACUGUCAUAGGCCAAUGACCCGGUUCUACUUCUAUCAUGUUCUACCUUCGAGUAUUACCCCAUGGUAUCUCGAAGAUAUCUUGCCAUUGCACCACAUCUUACUAACUUUGUUGAAGUAAUGUCUUUCCUUGUCAUAAUCACUCUAUGGGUUCUAGGUUGUUGUCAACCGAGGACACCGACUAGUGAAAUUAUUCUGCACUACAAAUCAAAUACCCCUAGUAUUUUUACUAGGAAAUUUUGAACUCAAUCUGGUCAUUCCUAGACUAUCGGCUGCAUCCUGGUCUUGCUACCUUUGACUGUGCUACCUCGUCCUUCUCUAGUGCACGAAUUCUUCAGUGUGUGAGCACGACUUAUGUCGAGCUUUCAACAUCAUGUUGCUUGUCUUGAAAAGCAACUUUGAUUCCGAGCUUGCAUCUUAUAUAUGGAUCCUAAAACUUGCCACUUCGUCAUUUCCUUGCUUGUUGCCAUUGUUGUUUGAUUGCAUCCUCUUGAAACCUCCCGGCAAAUGUGUCGGAUCACCUUCAACACUUUGACUUCUUUCGAUAUGUCAACUGUGUUCAUCAUGAGAAAUACCCUCCUUGCCAUCGAUGAUUUUUAGUAUCAUUGACAACACCCUUGACUUCCUUUCAUCGCGAACUUGUCCACAUUAUGAAUACAACUUGCUUUCCAGCUUGUAUUAUGUUCUACCUUGAAGUAUUACUGUCUUUUAUGUCAAGGAUGUUGUGAGGAUUGCUCCACCUCUUGAGAGUUCCUAGUAUAGUGAUACUUCUCACCAUCACCAUUAAUUCUUGGUCCCUAUGUCAAUUCUAACCGGGACACCAACAAGUGAACGGUACUCUUUGGAUUCUGCCCUUCUAGCAACCCUAUUGCUUUGAAGUUAAUGGUCGAUAGUUUCAUUCUGAGUCUAUUGCUUAUUGAAUCAUCAUUCAAACAACGAUCGUGCUACCUAGUCCAGAUUUCUGGGUGCACCCUUCUAUCAUCGUUAUAUUGUGUACGUUUUCCUCGAGCAUACAUCAUUAUAUCAUUUGAUCUAACUAAUGUUAUCUCCUUGUUCACAUAAUUGUGGAAAUCCAUCUUUUGGAAAUCUUGAUGAAUUGUCGCUGAGUUCGUCAACCGCCUCCUCAUCCCCUCCUUGGUUUAAUGAUGAACUAUUGUUUCAGGAACCUGCUCCCAUAGUUCAUUUCCCGAGAAUAUCGCAAUGUCAUUUUGUCAACUUGUGUCGCACCUUUUCUUCUCGGACAUCCUGAGUCUGAGGUAUCAUGACCCCAAUCGAAUCUGAAUCUCGGUCAGAUAUGAUGGUUGGGACAACUUUCCAGGAGUUAUGAUGUUGGUCCUUUGAUGACCCGGUAAUAUGAUGUCAUGCCUAGCACCCCUGGCUGGAGGACCUAUCAUUAUAAUUUCUUUUGCAAGGAUAACCAUUCUUCCUGGAGGAAAUUGUAAGACUUAAUUUAUAAGUUGCUCCUAAUGGAUCAUUUGUGUAUCCAAAGUCUGGCCCUUGAUUGGAACACCAUAUCAUUGCUACCUCGAAGCAUGACUAUGAUACCACGCUCAUCAACAAGAACAUUGGAGGCGCGAUGCUAAAUGUUUCUUGGUCAGUUAUCCAAACACCGUUGUAUGGGUAACAUCUUGAUUAAUCCUUGCCUCUUAUCUGAAUGGUUGGGUACUUGCUCUCCUACCCUGUAUGCACUGUUCUGCUUGUACAUGGGAAGGAUAUACUCCUAAUAAUUGUGUGUAAUCACAAUUUUUCUUUCCAUUCUUUUGUUUAACCUUUCCUGAAUCUGACUUAAGUAAGCAGAGAUACUUCUGUCUGUAAGAUCCUGUUACUAUUGUUGAUGACAUCCCGGUAACCACUUAUGGGUGAUAACUUUGCCAAUUGGUUUGCCUCGUUCAACAAGUAGGAAAAUUGCUCUCUUCGUUCCCCAUCCUUGGUACCGACAUUGUUGCCAGCAUAGCUGACAAGCUAUUCACUGACAUGCCUCCAUGUCGAGUGUGUGCAAGAUGUCACCACCCUUCCUACUUUCAACCCACAUGGUGGGCCCAUAACCCACAGGUCCACUGGAUCGAAACCUGACUCUUCUUUACAACUCGGAUUCUAAUGUAUCCUUUGCACCUGGCUUCGUAUGUGAUUCACGAGCUAAAUGUUAUACCAUUAAUCAUCCUGGAAUCAAAUACCAUGUUAUUCUCGUUGUUGAAAACCCCAUUACAGCUUUUGUCCAGUCAUCGAAUGAUUGCCUACCCGUUUGAAGCUUCGAUACCAUCGUAUAUUGCACUCAACGAAUUCACUGAAAUACAAAUCGUGAGAUACCUUGUGUAUUUCCCAUUGAAUUCACCGUCAGAUGCCCAACUUUGUGGAGAUGCGUUCUUCCGGAGUUUUUCCCCUUGGUCACGUUCGUAGGACAAUGGAGAUCCCGAAGAAAGGAUGAAGACUUGAUCAUGGUGACUUGAAGUAGAGAAAUGAAGACAUCAACGAAAGGGAACAACCUCUUCGAAAGGGCAUCCAAGAUCGAUAAGACUCGUUAGGUUUUUCGCUACCAGCACCCCCCCUUACUCCAUCGCUUAAAUCUCGGGACGAGAUUUCUUGUAGUGGAGGAGAUUUGUAACGCCCGGAUAAUUAGGCUACAGUAAAACUCUCAUGAUGAUGCCAUGUCAUCUAUGUUACUAUUGCUAAUUAAGUGGUAGUUCAAAAACAUUGCAAAUUCAAAAAUGAAUUAGUGACAAACACCCAAUGUUUUCAAAAUCCAAAACAAAAAUGUUCGGUGGGUGCCAAAUAUUGCAAUGGUAAUUAUGGUGAAGUAAACACAUUUUUAGAAAAUGCCUAAUUACUUUAAAAUGAAAUAAAACAGAAGGAAAUAAAUAAAAAGAAAAGUGAAAAUAAAACAAAAGGA
rnacentral:lncRNA from 1 species